ACUCCUACGGGAGGCAGCAGUGGGGAAUCUUGCGCAAUGGGCGAAAGCCUGACGCAGCCAUGCCGCGUGUAUGAUGAAGGUCUUAGGAUUGUAAAAUACUUUCACCGGUGAAGAUAAUGACUGUAGCCGGAGAAGAAGCCCCGGCUAACUUCGUGCCAGCAGCCGCGGUAA
rnacentral:rRNA from 1 species